rnacentral:rRNA from 1 species
GACAGAGGUGCCAAGCGUUAGGCGGAAUCACUGGGCUUAAAGCGUGUGUAGGCGGAAUGGUAAGUACCUUGUGAAAUCCCACGGCUCAACCGUGGAACUGCUUGGUAUACUGCUUUUCUUGAGCCACUUAGGGGCAACCGGAACAAACGGUGGAGCGGUGAAAUGCGUAGAUAUCUGGAGGAAUACCGGUGGCGAAGGCGGCAUCCUGGACCGACAUUGACGCUGAGCGGCGAAAGCUAGGGGAGCAAACGGG